GUUUACUUCUAGCAACACUAUCCUGAUGCUGUCAAAGUGGCAAAGCUCCAGAAUCGGUGAUUUUGUUGUUAGUGGUA
rnacentral:pre_miRNA from 12 species